rnacentral:rRNA from 1 species
GNAUGGGGCGAGCGUUAUCCGGACUUAUNGGGCGUAAAGCGCGCGUAGGCGGAGCGCUAAGCGGGACCUCUAACCCGAGGGCUCAACCCCCGGCCGGGUCCCGAACUGGCGCNCUCGAGUGCGGUAGGGGAGAGCGGAAUUCCCGGUGUAGCGGUGAAAUGCUUAGAUAUCACGAAGAACUCCGAUUGCGAAGGCGGCCGUCUGGUCUGAUUCUGACACUGAAGCACGAAAGCGUGGGGAGCAAAUAGGAUUAGAUACCCUAGUAGUCCACGCCUUAAACGAUGAGAACUAGGUGUUGGGGGAAUAACUCAGUGCCGCAGUUAACGCAAUAAGUUCUCCGCCUGGGGAGUAUGCACGCAAGUGUGAAACUCAAAGGAA